GCAGGGGUGGUCGAGUGGUUAAAGGCACCGGGCUGUAAACCCGGCGGGCUUCACUGCCCUACGUAGGUUCGAAUCCUACCCCCUGCACCA
rnacentral:tRNA from 1 species